GCUGGAUCUGUAAGAUGUGCUGACGAUGGUCCUUUGAUUUGUUUUUUGAAAGGCCUGGAAUUAAGAGCAUGGAUUCUAGAGAAGAAAAGAAGCAGACAUCUCUGAAGCAACAUAUGGAUCCACACAGGAUAUUGAGCUGGUGGUCAGCAGGAGAAGACUGUGCUGAACGGUGGCAGAUGGGAAAACACUGUAUGUACUGGG